rnacentral:rRNA from 1 species
CUUUCCCGCUGGCGGCAGGCCUAACACAUGCAAGUCGAGCGGAUGAAGGGAGCUUGCUCCUGGAUUCAGCGGCGGACGGGUGAGUAAUGCCUAGGAAUCUGCCUGGUAGUGGGGGAUAACGUCCGGAAACGGGCGCUAAUACCGCAUACGUCCUGAGGGAGAAAGUGGGGGAUCUUCGGACCUCACGCUAUCAGAUGAGCCUAGGUCGGAUUAGCUAGUUGGUGGGGUAAAGGCCUACCAAGGCGACGAUCCGUAACUGGUCUGAGAGGAUGAUCAGUCACACUGGAACUGAGACACGGUCCAGACUCCUACGGGAGGCAGCAGUGGGGAAUAUUGGACAAUGGGCGAAAGCCUGAUCCAGCCAUGCCGCGUGUGUGAAGAAGGUCUUCGGAUUGUAAAGCACUUUAAGUUGGGAGGAAGGGCAGUAAGUUAAUACCUUGCUGUUUUGACGUUACCAACAGAAUAAGCACCGGCUAACUUCGUG